rnacentral:rRNA from 1 species
AUUGAACGCUGGCGGCAUGCCUUACACAUGCAAGUCGAACGGUAACGGGCCUUCGGGUGCCGACGAGUGGCGAACGGGUGAGUAAUACAUCGGAACGUGCCCGAUCGUGGGGGAUAACGAGGCGAAAGCUUUGCUAAUACCGCAUACGAUCUACGGAUGAAAGCAGGGGACCGCAAGGCCUUGCGCGGACGGAGCGGCCGAUGGCAGAUUAGGUAGUUGGUGGGAUAGAAGCUUACCAAGCCGACGAUCUGUAGCUGGUCUGAGAGGAUGAUCAGCCACACUGGGACUGAGACACGGCCCAGACUCCUACGGGAGGCACCAGUGGGGAAUUUUGGACAAUGGGCGCAAGCCUGAUCCAGCCAUGCCGCGUGCAGGAUGAAGGCCUUCGGGUUGUAAACUGCUUUUGUACGGAACGAAAAGCCUUCUUCUAAUACAGGAGGGUCAUGACGGUACCGUAAGAAUAAGCACCGGCUAACUACGUGCCAGCCGCCGCAGUAA